rnacentral:rRNA from 1 species
UACGUAGGACCCAAGCGUUAUCCGGAAUUACUGGGCGUAAAGAGCUGCGUAGGUGGCAUUAUAAGUGGAGCGUGAAAGCGUGCGGCUCAACCGCAUUAUUGCGUUCCAAACUGUAAAGCUUGAGUAUGAGAGAGGUAGAUGGAAUUUCUAGUGUAGGAGUGAAAUCCGUAGAUAUUAGAAGGAACACCGAUGGCGUAGGCAGUCUACUGGCUCAUUACUGACACUAAGGCACGAAAGCGUGGGGAGCAAACAGG